CUACACACACACACACACACACACACACACACACACACACACAUCACACACACACAGUGCCCCAAUUCCUUCUGCAAAGUGAGAGGAUAGAAAUCCCAACGUGAUGCUCAUUUACACACAGUGAGAUGUCCCCUCCCGGCCCACAGGGACACACAAAGCACCACCAGCCUCCUCCCUUUGCGGACAUCGUCUCCGUGUUUGUGUGCCUUCCUUUACGGCUGGAAAGACGAUCCCCCCUGAGGGUUUGAAUCAAAAGGUUCCUCCGGAGGACCUGCGAUACAAUAUUAAGGCACAGGUCACAUACCGUCUAGUCUCAAGUGUGCACAUGGUUCUAAAGGAGGCCAGUGGAAAGAGCACCAUUUAAGCCCCUCGAGGACCAUCGCUGUAACCCCCCCCAAUCAACCGCAGUGGCUUUUCAUGAUGACAAGGCCUGUCUCACAGUCAGCAGCGGGGAACUUGGAAGAUGGUGGAGGAACUAGAGGAAGCGUUUGGGCUGCCGAGGUGCGAUCUGAUUUCUUCCCCCGUCUGCAGCUCGUCUCGGCCGACUAGUGGAGAACAUUUCAUUCUGUCAGAGUGACGUCCCAGCCGGGGUUUCAGAGUAAUUAAUCAUAAUGCAUCACUGUGACUGACAGGGCAAUGAAAUUCUGCCAGUUUAAUUUUGACCCAUCAUACUUACUUGCGUAUUUACCAAUAACAGAAGUAUUACGUAAAAAAGAUUAUUCUUAAAUGAUUCAGAUUGUAAUUGUAUUGUCCCGCCAGUGAGUGCAAUUUAAAAGUGCUGUGGUUAACAAAAAAAUAAAUGGGAAAAUCACA